rnacentral:rRNA from 1 species
GGAUUUCCUCAGUAGCGGCGAGCGAACAGGAAAGAGCCCAGCGCCGAAUCCCGCGGUUCUUGCGAUCGCCGGGAGAUGUGGUGUUAGGGAGGUUCCGCCGUCUCGUCGUCGCGCGUCUCGUCCAAGUUCGUCUUGAACGGGGCCGCUUUACCGUAGAGGGUGCUAGUCCCGUAGCGACAGGCGCCGGCGGCGAGAGGAACCCUCCUCAGAGUCGGGUUGCUUGAGAGUGCAGCCCUAAGCGGGUGGUAAACUCCAUCUAAGGCUAAAUAUUACCGCGAGACCGAUAGCGAACAAGUACCGUGAG